GAGAGAGAGAGAGAGAGAGAGAAAGGGAGAGAGAGAAAGCGAGCGAGCGCGAGCGCACCCAGAAUGUUAAAGGUAGGUGAUUUAGGCUUGAAAUAGUUUGUCACAGUGUUUGUCUUUUGUGACAUAAGUCUUUUAUAUUCUGUUGUAAUUCUGGAAACCAGUAUUUAAGAUUUUUGUUUUGUUUUAAAGUUACUUAACUCUUUACUGGACUCACAGCAGCCAGUGGCGGCUGAUAGACUUCAAUCACUUGUAGCCCUGGAUGCACAAGCCAGUAGUAAAAGCAACCCUUGAGAGCUGGGAGCAUGCAGCCAAGUGCCCACAGUUACUGGUAGCCACUCCCUGCACCCAGCAACCUGGUGGGUAUGGGUGGCUGCCCUUAUACCUGAGGCAAGGCUCCCCUGGAGUUUCCUAGGCAUGGUGCCCUUGCCUCUUUUAAGAGUACUGUUGCUUUGUGAGAAUCCAUAACUAGUCCACACUUGCCGAGCUAUGGUCUCAUACAAUAGCUUCAUUGAUUCUUGAUUUCCAUAGAAAAGCUUUAUGGGUUCUAAUGAAUUACCAGCCGCCCUUCACCUCCUCAGAGAGUGUCUUUGUGUCCUGGGCCUUGCCUUUGGAAAAGGACUUAUGUGAGUGAUGGGUGCAGAGUAAUUAAUGAAAGUUGUUAUGAAGCAACCAAGCCGGGGAGGGUUGUGUGUGUGUGUGUCUGUGUGUCUGUAUGCAGUUUACUGUAUUGCUUAGAUGCUUAAGUAAUCCUGUGUACCUGGGCCUUGUUUCUAUACCUCUUCCUACCCUUGUAUUUAUAAUAAAUCUUUAACAAAUACAAUAUUGAACAUUCUAUAUCCAAAUCUCAUGUCAGAUCAAAUCAUGCAAGAUCUUGACAUUUUUGCUCUCUUUAAGCUGGACCAAGAGAAAAUUGCUAUAUUUUGUAGCCUCAGGAAGACAGUCUGGUUUGUGUAAUGUUAUACCAUUAAAUUUUCAUCUGUUCCCUAGACUGAUUCUUUUUAAGAGUCUACAACUUAAAACCAGAAGAGAUUCUGACAUCUCUGUGUGUUCUGAAAUCCCUGCCAGCUUUAAACUGGUCUAACAGGAAAAAUUAAGACCAUGACCGGCUGCCCUCAGCACUUACUCCUAACAACAGUCACCCGCUCGUCCCCACGCACCUCCUCACAGCCUCUCUGAGUGGAACCAUUAAUGCACCCAUAGCUGACACUUGCCGAGUGUCAAGCCCAGUUCUGAGUGAUUUAUGUGCAGCAGCUGACGUGAAUGUCCCACUGAAGCCCGCCACAACCCACACAAAGACAGUGCAGACUGCAUCGGACACUCUGUGUACGUUGGUGCAAUAUUAGCUAGUCAAGUAACUGCUACAAAAAUAAUGCUUUGGGCAGUAUCCUAAAAUUCUUAGUCCUCAACCACCAGCACAAAGCGCACAUUUCUAAAUUGAGACAAUCUCAACCAGCAUGUAUUUUGAAAACACUUGAAAGUAUGCUGAUAAUUACACUUGUGUUGAUUUCAGUGUGUUUGAUGCCAGCCACCACCAAUUCUUUCCUGCAUCGAAAGAUGAAAGCUAUUUUCAUAUAAAACAUAAGAGUGGAAAAGGGAGGUGGGAGAAGAACAUUCUUGUGGCUUUUUAGUUACUUUUAUAGGCAGCGUUAAUUUCAUUCCUGUGACAGAAUGCUUUCCUUGGCACUCACUCUCAUCUUAGGCAUUUUAAUGAGCUGCUGUUUUGUGCCUGUGCUCAUAUGGCACUAAUAAGAUGUGUUAUUUUUAGUAGCACCUACUGGUGUCACCUUGGGUUAGGACCUGUCAUUGUUUCCAUUAAUUAUGUGUUACAGCAGGCGGACACUUGAGUGUAUUCAGCCUAGACGUCAGCCAAUGUGUAUCUGAUAUAUAUUCAACCUUGAGAGCCCCGCACUUGGAGAAGACCACAUGUGGCCUCACAAGUAUUUGUGGCAUUGAUUAGAUGAUGAAGCUCACAGUGGUAUUUACGUUUGCAAUCCUCCAUGAUGCUGCAAUUAACC
rnacentral:lncRNA from 1 species